rnacentral:rRNA from 1 species
AUUGAACGCUGGCGGCGUGCUUAACACAUGCAAGUCGAUCGGUAACAGGUGUAGCAAUACAUGCUGACGAGAGGCGGACGGGUGAGUAAUGCUUGGGAAUCUGCCUAUUAGUGGGGGACAACCCGGGGAAACUCGGGCUAAUACCGCAUACGCUCUACGGAGGAAAGCCGGGGACCGCAAGGCCUGGCGCUAAUAGAUGAGCCCAAGUCGGAUUAGCUAGUUGGUAGGGUAACGGCCUACCAAGGCGACAAUCCGUAGCUGGUCUGAGAGGACGACCAGCCACACUGGGACUGAGACACGGCCCAGACUCCUACGGGAGGCAGCAGUGGGGAAUAUUGGACAAUGGGCGCAAGCCUGAUCCAGCGAUGCCGCGUGUGUGAAGAAGGCCUGCGGGUUGUAAAAGCACUUUCAGUAGGGAAGAAAAGACCGAGUGCUAAUAUCAUUCGG